CUCGUAGGCGGCCAACUAAGUCAGACGUGAAAUCCCUCGGCUUAACCGGGGAACUGCGUCUGAUACUGGAUGGCUCGAGUUUGGGAGAGGGAUGCGGAAUUCCAGGUGUAGCGGUGAAAUGCGUAGAUAUCUGGAGGAACACCGGUGGCGAAGGCGGCAUCCUGGACCAACACUGACGCUGAGUGAGCGAAAGCCAGGGAGCAAACG
rnacentral:rRNA from 1 species